UGGAAGGCUAGACUGGGGGGUUAGCGCUCUCCUGUAACCGUAAAUACGCUUUAGACGGAGUCGAAGUUUGGGAGGAGGUGUUGGUUAUAUUUAAAGGUCUUAACUUGGACGUUGAAGUUCCGUCCUUUGGGAUCUGUUUUUUUAGAAACCGAGUCAGGCGGGGAACCGAGCAGCUCUAACUAAUUAGAUAGAUGCUCAAUGGGUUGCGGGAUGGAGGAAGAGUUGGGGUUGCCUUUGAAUAUUUCUAAUAUCAAUUUUCAAACGCGCCUUCCA
rnacentral:SRP_RNA from 1 species